rnacentral:sRNA from 1 species
UUCUGGUGUAAUAGGUGGUCCUAGUAU